rnacentral:rRNA from 1 species
AUGGCUGUCAUAGAUGUCGAUGAAUUCAUCUUCUCAACAAGCUGGGCAGGAUUAGAGAAGCCAUCAAAAUCUUUGCUAGAGCCCGUCAUUUCUGUUGAUGAUAGCGUUGGCCAAAUAUACCUUGUUUGUUAUGAUUUUGCCCCCUCGGGCCAAACAGCACAUCCACCAGAGGGGGUCUGCCAGGGCUACACUUGCCAGUUGAAGAGCCCGCAGCGGCACAAAUCCUUGGUCCGUCUCGACGCCGUGGAACCAUCCCUCAUGAAUGUGGUCCAUCAUUUUAAGCUCAAGCCUGCUUUCAAAAGCAUCUGGACCGCGUUGGCACGUGUGAACCACUACAAAUACCAAGCUUGGUCGGAGUUCAAAGUCAAGUUCAAGAGGCGCGUGUCCGCUUAUGUGGCUGAUUGGAAAGAUCCGAUCAACCUCGACUCAAAGGAUCGGGCUCCUGGCUUAGGAGUUGAUGACACCGAACCAGAAGGCUGGGCCCAAAGAUACUGCAAGGUUAAAGACAAUAUCCUUCAGCUAUUAACUGCAAGAUGGUUCGGUGUCGGAUUUGGGAACCCUCAUUAG